CCAGUGAGAAUGCCCUCUAUAUCAACAUGAUCAAAAGGAGCAGGCAUCAAGCCCACUUCCAUAGUUGCUCAUGACGCCUUGCUUAACCACACCCCCACGGGAUACAGCAGUGAUUAAAAUUAAGCCAUAAACGAAAGUUUGACUAAGUUAUAUCAUUAAGAGUUGGUAAAUUUCGUGCCAGCCACCGCGGUCAUACGAUUAACCCUAGUUAAUAAAAUACGGCGUAAAACGUGAUUAAGAUGCCCCUCCCCAAUAAGAUUAAGAUUUAACUAAGCUGUAAAAAGCCCUAGUUGUAAUAAAGACAAACAACGAAAGUGAUCUUAAAAAAUCUGAACUCACGAUAGCUAAGACCCAAACUGGGAUUAGAUACCCCACUAUGCUUAGCCCUAAACACAAAUACUCAAUUAACAAGAUUAUUCGCCAGAGUACUACUAGCCACAGCUUAAAACUCAAAGGACUUGGCGGUGCUUUAUACCCCUCUAGA
rnacentral:rRNA from 1 species